CAUAGGGGACGUGCCACACCCAGAGGGUGCAGUUGUCAGGCGGGGAGGCCAGCCAUCUGUGAGAGACCCGUCCUGCCGUCCUGCCCCUGCCGUGUGGUGCAGUGAUGACUCCAGUAUCAAUCAGGAUUACACGAAUCGAGCUCAGUAAAGGGCUGACAGAAUCCCUCACCAAAUUUCCAGAAAGAAAGAGUACGGAGAAGGCUGGAAAGAGAAAGGAGGGAGAGAGCGACCCGGAGGAAGACCUCCCACGGAGGCUUCCAGAGCCGCUGGGAAGAGCUCCGCCCCCCGCCCCCCAGCUCUGCACCUGCUACCAUGCAGUGCAGAUCUGCUAAGAGAACCCAAAUCGGCUCCAUCACGGGCCCAGUAUCUUCAACAGCAUCAGCCAUCUGGAGUGUGAUCAAAGAUCCUUGACUCAAAUUGCUUUGGUCUCUCAUUAUUUUAUCUAGAUUAUUUUCAAUUUGUUAUAUGUAUUUCCAAUCUCUCUCU